UGCAGGCCCAUCUCGUUUCCCCCGCAUUUCAAUUUCAGGAAGAAAGAAUGCAAUGAUGGACACAGAAUCGGACAGGUUGACAGUGCGGAUGCAGAAUGGUGUCAUCGGGCACUCGCCCCGUGCAUUCGGAAGGUUAUCUGACACUCUGCAGACAAGAUGUACUCUGUUUUGGGCUGGAGUCGGGUCUGGCUGCCUGUCUCGGAGAAAGCAACUUGAAGAUUUGUACUUGAGCGUAAAAUCUAUUAAAAUAGAAGGAUUUCAAUAAGACCUGUUACGACCUGCUGCCGCCGCCGUGGAUAGAUAGCGUCUCAUUCAAAUGUAUUGCUGGCUCGCUAUCUCAUCAAGCUCGGACCGCUUGCUGAAGUUACUGUUAUCAAGUUGCUGUAAUACAAAAGUUUGGAUUUAAGAUUGCUAGGAGGCCUUUAUCAAUGCCCUGGAGUGUGAGGCACCUUUUAUUAUGGAUGGAUGCACUUUAUUUGGACUGAUGAAGAGAGACACCCGUCUUUACCGUUCUAAAGCUUGGGAGUGCCAGGAUAAUUUUUAAUAUAACUCCGAUUGCAUUCGUCUGAAAGAAGGAAGUCAUAUACACCUAGGAUGCAUAGAGGGUCUCUGUGCCAAAUUGGAUUCCACCUACGCAGACCCACCACCUGUUCGGCCCAGCCAUGAUGUUGUCCUCCAACACCUGCUGACCCCUCCGAGCACUCAGGUUGUUAAAAGAAAAUGCAGAUUGUGUGAUGAUGGGAAAUCCUGAUUUAGCACAAGGAACCAAAAAGCAUCUUAUGUUCAAGUAGGAGGAGGAGGAGAAGGAGACAUGGCCUGCCUUGCUUCCUCAGCGAAAACGCCUGGUUGUAAUGCAGCUGUUUGGACUCUCAUUCGGCACCCAUUCAUUGCAGAGGAUCCUUUGGUGAGCAAGUGAUACAAUGCUGAAUUCUGAUGAACAAAACAAUCUCAUCUGCAUCAUGAUGACCUGAGGGCUAUGGAGGGGGUUCCCUGGUGUUCCUGGAUGUGCUUCAUGUUGAGGAUGGGAUUACACUCAAGUCUGAUGAACGGGCCCACUGGGACCAGGAACUUGAGACAUCUGGCGGCGGGGGUGGGGUGGUCGUGUGGAGUAGUCCCCCCCCACUAUCAGGCGCCCUGACAGCCCACUGACAGAUAACAGCUGCUGGGAAAGCCUCCCACCGCUUCAAGCUACUGUUCCGUGAGUCUGCAGCUUGUGUCAUUUCUUCAGCACCCAACUUCUUUUUCUGAACGGUUUGGAAUCCUGCAGCAAGCAUAGUCUUGGUACAAAAGGUCAUUUUCUCAUUUCUAUAGCAUUGCAGUCAUUAUGCUGACGACAUAUGGGUCACUAACAACGAGGCCACAUACUGUUUUAAAAUGCAUUUUAAUUAUUUAUUGUGCAUUCAUUUUAUCACAGUCUGGGGGAAGGUGAUUUAGAGGUAGGUUAAUGAUUUUACAUUCUAUUACCUUCUAUUUGUUACCUUAAAUUCAAUUUGCUUCCAAGAGUGCUAAUACGCAGAGUGUCAGCACUGUAACGCUUUACCAUUUGUAACACUCCGCUUGUUUGUUUACAGCUUUCCAGAUCAGAGUAUUUGGGAGUGGAUGCACUGCCAGGAAUGUGACUUUGCCUUAAGUGAGUGAAGAGGUUUUUCGAAGUCGGAGUGUCUGUGUUUUUUUUUUUUUUUU